rnacentral:rRNA from 1 species
UACAGAGGUCCCAAGCGUUGUUCGGAUUCAUUGGGCGUAAAGGGUGCGUAGGUGGCAUGGUAAGUCGGGUGUGAAAUCUCCACGCUCAACGUGGAGGGGUCAGCUGAUACUGCUGUGACUUGAGUCCGGUAGGGGGAGUGUGGAAUUCCCGGUGUAGCGGUGAAAUGCGCAGAUAUCGGGAGGAACACCAGUAGCGAAGGCGGCACUCUGGGCCGGUACUGACGCUGAGGAGCGAAAGCGUGGGGAGCAAACAGG